GGGGCGGAAACUGGACGCCCGAGCCUCAACACCUAGAGCGGGCUCGGGCUAGGCGCACUCUUUGGCGGCGGGUGUGUUUAAUCUUGGGGAAGAAGUUUAGCAGCCGGUGAGGACAAGGAGGGAGGCCGGGAGGAGGAUGCGGCUUGGCCGGGGGGUGCCCGCUGCAGGAGCUCGCCGCCGCCUCAGCCUCGGUCCCCGGGGCCGCCGAGGGCCCGCCCGCCGCCCCGCGUGUCCGGGUAGGUGUUCCGGCCGCCGGCCGGUGCUGGGCUGCCUCCCUCUCAGCUUUCCAGUCCUUGGUGCUCCGGCCCACGCCCUACGGCCCUGCCCCUCUCUCCCUUAGGCGGUUCUGCUUCCUCUGGACGUCCAUGUCCCUUCCGGAGUGCAGUGCUGCGCUCCCCGGUCCCCCUUUGCUCGAGUCUAACUCCUUCCUCAUCUGCAUCCAGGAAUCUACUACGCCCGCACUUUUAUGCCUUCUCCUGUCUUCCUGAAGCAAAGAACUGCACCCCGAUAGUCUUCAUCCGUCCUCUCAAAUGGGUUCUGAAAGCUGUCGUCCCUGUUAGCUCAUUUUAGGGCGCCUUAAGCUCCCCGGACCAGGAGUGUCCGUCUCCAACCACAUUCUUGCCCCUAACAGCUCAUAUUUACCAGGACAUGACAAGCCAGCCCCAUGAUUAGGGUCAGUUCUUGAAUAUAGAAAUGUGUCUUCCCUUUUUAUCUUUUGCUGCUGUCUUUCCUGUUAAUUCUCUAUCUUAGGUAUGCAUGUUUGUGUUGACCGAAAGGAAAAGAAUGAUAGAAUUUUCGCCCUCCAAGAAAUUGACAGUCCCUAUAGAAAUAAAAGCCACUCCUUCAAUUUCCAUGACUGAAUACAGUGCCUAAGCUGUCUGCCCAUUUUCCCCUGGUGUCUGACACUUCGCAUAUAUCUGAAUAAUUUUGGGCUUAGUUUGCCCCACUAGGAGACUUUACUUAUAUUCUUGUACAGUUGAAACCUCCUCUUUAUUGGGGUGGAAGGAGAAGUAGUAAAAGACUGGGGAAAUUACAUUCCCC
rnacentral:lncRNA from 1 species